rnacentral:tmRNA from 1 species
GGGGCUGACUGGUAUUGACGGGAGGUCUUGAUAAUAAACCGGCAUGCAGAGCGUGUUCAUAGCUCUUAAAUCCAUGGAUACAACAAUUUUAACUGGCGAAACUAAUUACGCCAUGGCUGCUUAAUCUUAGAGAUUAACCACCAUUUGCUCUGCGCUUGAGGCACCAUACACAGCGCACCAGCAACCAAAACCUGGUGACGCUUGCCGUAAGCAUCAUCUACUUACGGCAAGUUGAUUGACAGAUGUAAGAAACAAAUUGGAGGGUUACUUAUCCGGCUUGUUUACGAAAACCAAUAAGUAACUAAGCAUGUAGAGAGUCUAUUGCCAACUUAUCCGGACGUGGGUUCGAUUCCCACCAGCUCCACAA